GGCGGCUGCUCAUCUACAGGGGUCAGGCCAGCCCCGAGCACAGCCUUCCUACCUGGGCCAUGGGUGAACCAGGGCAGCAGGUACAGGUGCACGGCGGCCAGCUCCAGCAGCUCGAAGGCGCGGGCCAGGCCGCGCAGCGCGGGGGCCAGGUCGGCGCGGCCCCACAGGCCGUCGGCCCUCUGCAGCGCCAGGGACGAAGGAGCGGAAGUUCCUCGCGAACCCGCCGGGCGGGGAACUCCUCUGGCGGGUGGGACCCUUCGCCUUACUCCGCAAGGUCCUGCAGAGCAUCCUGUCCUAGGGGCCCACCCCAGGGCUGUCCCACUCCUGCAAAGAGGGCGUGACGGGCAGGCCCGGUGUCGUGGACCUCAUUGGUCUCUGGGAGUCUGGCUCUUGCUGGUCAGUGGCUGCUGGGCGCACGUCGAGUCAGAGCAGGCCGUGCAGGCGCUGACCCUGCUUCCCACCCACCCGGAGGGGAUGUGCAG